rnacentral:lncRNA from 10 species
AGAGGCCCGAGCGGGCUCGCGAGGGAACGGGUUCUCCGAGUCUGGCCGGCCACAACAACUGGAUUCUCUUUUCUGAUUUUUGCUGCAGCUUCUGCUUUGUAAUCAUACGGACAGUUGUGCUUGUCAGAGUUAACGGUGAAGUCCACAAAACAAAUUUCCACAUCGGCAGUCAAACCUAUACAGCAAGAAAGCAGCAUCUGCAAGAAAGCCCUCACCAGGACCAAAUCAGCUGACACCUCAACCUUGGACUACCCAGCUUCCCGAACUGUGAGUUUAAAGGAAGCAGCUGGCGAGAGGGGAGCCCAGCACACUAUGCAAGAGAGAUGCCUCUAAGAUUUUAUCUGUGGCCACCGACUGGAGCCAUUUGGACCGGGUACAGCAGUGGAAACUCUGUGAUGGUGACAAACAUGGGAAUCACUCUGAUGUGACGCAGUUAAAUUUACACCUUAAAAAAUGGAUGCCAAGACAACAUAAACAAGACCCAGGGACACCAACAGGGUAUGGUGCUGUGCCCCAGAGUCAGGGUCCUGGGUUCUUACCCAGGGAAGUGAGAAAUAAAGAUAACUUUUCCCUGCUCCCUCUCUCCUCCCCUGACACUGAUCUUCCCACCCUGUACCUCCCUCUUCUGCUCCCAAACCCCCACCCAGUGCUCAGUCGCAGACAUCACUGCCUGCAGGGCAUGCACAGUGCAGCCCAUUGCACACAAACUACAAACUCACAGAAGGUGAUGACAAUUUGUGUUUGGGACGUCUGAUUGUGAAAGAGGGAGGACAGCGUACUUGCAGCCACAGAGACUGAAACUGGAACGUGAUGGAACGGGGCUGGAACGUGAUGGAGCUCUGACAUAACAGACGUGUGACUUUGUGUGAAAUGUGCAGAUCCAUGUGGAAUAAAACACAGCCUAGCCUGUG